AGCGAACGCUGGCGGCAGGCUUAACACAUGCAAGUCGAGCGGGCCUUUCGGGGUCAGCGGCGGACGGGUGAGUAACGCGUGGGAACGUGCCCUAUGGUUCGGAAUAACUCAGGGAAACUUGAGCUAAUACCGGAUACGCCCUUUUGGGGAAAGGCUUGCUGCCGGAGGAUCGGCCCGCGUCUGAUUAGCUAGUUGGUGAGGUAACGGCUCACCAAGGCGACGAUCAGUAGCUGGUCUGAGAGGAUGAUCAGCCACACUGGGACUGAGACACGGCCCAGACUCCUACGGGAGGGAGCAGUGGGGAAUAUUGGACAAUGGGCGCAAGCCUGAUCCAGCCAUGCCGCGUGAGUGAUGAAGGCCUUAGGGUUGUAAAGCUCUUUUAUCCGGGACGAUAAUGACGGUACCGGAGGAAUAAGCCCCGGCUAACUUCGUG
rnacentral:rRNA from 1 species